UCGGCGCAGGGUGAGUCGGCCCCUAAGGCGAGACCGAAAGGUGUAGUCGAUGGGAAACGGGUUAAUAUUCCUGUACUUCUUCAUAAUGCGAUGGGGGGACGGAGAAGGCUAGGCCAGCGCGGCGAUGGUUGUCCGCGUUUAAGGCUGUAGGCUGGCUGCUUAGGUAAAUCCGGGCGGCUAAGGUCGAGAGCUGAUGACGAGUGCUACUGAGAGGUAGCGCGAAGUGGUUAAUGCCAUGCUUCCAAGAAAAGCCUCUAAGCUUCAGUUAUGAAGGAACCGUACUGUAAACCGACACAGGUGAUCAGGUAGAGAAUACUAAGGCGAUCGAGACAACCAUGGUUAAGGAACUCGGCAAAAUGCCCCCG
rnacentral:rRNA from 11 species